AUCAAACAUGCUGACAUUAUAGUCUCGGUUACCUUCAAGGCGAAAGCUUGAGAAUCGACGGAGUACCUACUUUGGUAAUUUAAUAUGAAUACAUGAUCCACAACUAUCAAUCAAGUCAGCAAAUCGCUCAAGUUGUUUACACUUGCAUCAUCCAAAUUGGCCGGUGGUGGAGUGACAGUCGGGACGGGUUUUUGGGUGAAACGUGUGGUUGAACAAUGGGGUCCUUGUUUUCUAAGAGUACCUGGCGUCGUUGCCGUCACUGCGAGCGCGAUGUGAAGCUGUUCGAGCGGUCGUGCUGCCUGUGCGCGGCGGCGGCCAAGCGCAUGGAGCCGCCGCCGCGCAGCGACAAGCCGCUGUUCGGCGAGUACCUCUGCAUCACGUGCGAGGUGGUGUGGACCAGCCGCCUGUGCUGGCCCUGCCACUACCAGGCCUGCAAGCGCUGCCACCUGCUCGUCUACCCUCACAGCUGGCGCGACCUUACAGCAGCGGAAAAAAGACGUGAAGCCACAACUAAGGACCACCAGAGAGAAUACUGCCAGAAGUGCCUAGAGGUCGGCUACUACUGUGGAGACUAUGCUAGGCUCUACGGCAAAUUCUAACGAACCGUCCAUUCGCUGGUCCCUGGGCGUCGAUGUCUUGAGCUGUCUGUACGAACCGACGUAGGCUGUAGUUGUGGCGAUACACAAGAAUCCAAGGUAGACAAUAUAGAAUACGAAGAUGGUCCUAUGGAGGGCUUGGAUGCGGCGCAGACCUUUCCAACCUCGGACCAGAUCUGGGGAAUGGUAGGCACUAUUCUGGCUAUCGGAGCAGUCUGGAUGAUAUUUACAAGGAUCAAACGCGGCUUCAAACCUCUUUCGAAGCCGGCACAAGUCGCCCGCGGUACCGACAUGCAGCACCCGCAGGCGUCCCGCCUUCCCCACCCGCCCCCGCUCGACAGCGCGACGCGCAUCACACAGACCUCGGAC